GUGGAGCAUGUGGCUUAAUUUGACUCAACGCGGGGAAUCUUACUAGGUCAGGACCGAUUCAUGAUUGUCACCGAUAGUGUCGCCGGUACAAGAUUGUUGGAUGAGUGGUGCAUGGCCGUUCUUAGUUCGUGGUGUGAUUCGUCGCAUUAAUUUGUUUCGAAUCAAUUGUUGUUGAUCGUAGCAACGAACGAGACCGUGAUUUGUUGCGAGCAGGCGCAACUUAACUACAGAGACAGGGUAAUCUACUACUACACACCAGGAAGGACACGGCAAUAACAGGUCUGUGAUGCCCUCAGAUGUUCUAGGCCGCACACGUGCUACAAUUGACUCGUUAGUUGUAGUGCGUGUGUGUUGUGAGAUCCCCCGCGUAGAGUCAAGUUGAGUCGCUAGUUGAGAUUACCGGUUGUAACUAUUCGGUACCGCAACUAGGAAUGCCUCGUACGGUGGGAUCAACGAGUUCCAUUGGAAUCCGUCCCUGCCCUUUGUACACACCGCCCGUCGCUCUUACCGAUGGCGGUGGUUUCGAAUGUUACCGAGCGACGUAGGUUUAAUAUACUCGCGGCGCAACGUAAUGUAAGAAACCACCGCUAAAGGAAAGAGAAGUCGUAACAAGGCAUCG
rnacentral:rRNA from 1 species